UACGUAGGGUGCAAGCGUUAAUCGGAAUUACUGGGCGUAAAGCGUGCGCAGGCGGUUAUGUAAGCACAGGUGUGAAAUCCCCGGGCUUAACUUGGGAACUGCAUUUGGGACUGCAAGGCUGGAGCACGGUAGAGGCAGAUGGAAUUCCCGGUGUAGCGGUGGAAUGCGUAGAGAUCGGGAAGAACACCAGUGGCGAAGGCGGUCUGCUGGGCCGUGCUGACGCUGAGGCGCGACAGCGUGGGGAGCAAACAGG
rnacentral:rRNA from 1 species